GGAACCACCUGAUCCCUUCCCGAACUCAGAAGUGAAAC
rnacentral:rRNA from 1 species